AGAGUUUGAUUCUGGCUCAGAUUGAACGCUGGCGGCAGGCCUAACACAUGCAAGUCGAACGGUAACAGGAAGCAGCUUGCUGCUUUGCUGACGAGCGGCGGACGGGUGAGUAAUGUCUGGGAAACUGCCUGAUGGAGGGGGAUAACUACUGGAAACGGUAGCUAAUACCGCAUAACGUCGCAAGACCAAAGAGGGGGACCUUCGGGCCUCUUGCCAUCGGAUGUGCCCAGGUGGGAUUAGCUAGUAGGUGGGGUAACGGCUCACCUAGGCGACGAUCCCUAGCUGGUCUGAGAGGAUGACCAGCCACACUGGAACUGAGACACGGUCCAGACUCCUACGGGGGGCAGCAGUGGGGAAUAUUGCACAAUGGGCGCAAGCCUGAUGCAGCCAUGCCGCGUGUAUGAAGAAGGCCUUCGGGUUGUAAAGUACUUUCAGCGGGGAGGAAGGUGUUGAGGUUAAUAACCUUGUCGAUUGACGUUACCCGCAGAAGAAGCACCGGCUAACUCCGUGCCAGCAGCCGCGGUAAUACGGAGGGUGCAAGCGUUAAUCGGAAUUACUGGGCGUAAAGCGCACGCAGGCGGUCUGUCAAGUCGGAUGUGAAAUCCCCGGGCUCAACCUGGGAACUGCAUUCGAAACUGGCAGGCUAGAGUCUUGUAGAGGGGGGUAGAAUUCCAGGUGUAGCGGUGAAAUGCGUAGAGAUCUGGAGGAAUACCGGUGGCGAAGGCGGCCCCCUGGACAAAGACUGACGCUCAGGUGCGAAAGCGUGGGGAGCAAACAGGAUUAGAUAUCCUGGUAGUC
rnacentral:rRNA from 1 species